CUACGGGGCGCAGCAGUGAGGAAUUUUGCGCAAUGGGGGAAACCCUGACGCAGCAACGCCGCGUGAGAGAAGAAGGCCUUCGGGUCGUAAAGCUCUGUCAAGUGGGAAAAAAAUUCUUUGAUGAACAGUCAAAGGACUUGAUGGUACCACUGGAGGAAGCACCGGCUAACUCCGUGCCAGCAGCCGCGGUAAUACGGAGGGUGCAAGCGUUGUUCGGAAUUACUGGGCGUAAAGAGCGUGUGGGCGGUUUGACAAGUCAGAUGUGAAAGCCCCGGGCUCAACCCGGGAAGUGCAUUUGAAACUGUUUCACUAGAGUAUGGGAGAGGAGAUUGGAAUUCCUGGUGUAGAGGUGAAAUUCGUAGAUAUCAGGAGGAACACCGGUGGCGAAGGCGAUUCUCUGGACCAAUACUGACGCUGAGACGCGAAAGCGUGGGGAGCAAACAGGAUUAGAUACCCGUGUAGUC
rnacentral:rRNA from 1 species